UGGGGAAUUUUGGACAAUGGGCGAAAGCCUGAUCCAGCAAUGCCGCGUGUGUGAAGAAGGCCUUCGGGUUGUAAAGCACUUUUGUCCGGAAAGAAAUCCUCUGGGUUAAUACCUCGGGGGGAUGACGGUACCGGAAGAAUAAGCACCGGCUAACUACGUGCCAGCAGCCGCGGUAAUACGUAGGGUGCAAGCGUUAAUCGGAAUUACUGGGCGUAAAGCGUGCGCAGGCGGUUUUGUAAGACGGAUGUGAAAUCCCCGGGCUUAACCUGGGAACUGCAUUCGUGACUGCAAGGCUAGAGUAUGGCAGAGGGGGGUAGAAUUCCACGUGUAGCAGUGAAAUGCGUAGAGAUGUGGAGGAAUACCGAUGGCGAAGGCAGCCCCCUGGGCCAAUACUGACGCUCAUGCACGAAAGCGUGGGGAGCAAACAGGAUUAGAUACCCUGGUAGUCCACGCCCUAAACGAUGUCAACUAGUUGUUGGGGAUUCAUUUCCUUAGUAACGUAGCUAACGCGUGAAGUUGACCGCCUGGGGAGUACGGUCGCAAGAUUAAAACUUAAAUGAAUUGACGGGGUCAUAGCUGUUUCCU
rnacentral:rRNA from 1 species